rnacentral:rRNA from 1 species
UACGGGGGGAGCAAGCGUUGUUCGGAUCUACUGGGCGUAAAGGGCGCGUAGGCGGUCAGCACAAGUCAGUUGUGAAAUCUCCGGGCUUAACUCGGAAAGGUCAACUGAUACUGUGCGACUAGAGUGCAGAAGGGGCAACUGGAAUUCUUGGUGUAGCGGUGAAAUGCGUAGAUAUCAAGAGGAACACCUGCGGCGAAGGCGGGUUGCUGGGCUGACACUGACGCUGAAGCGCGAAAGCCAGGGGAGCGAACGGG